GCCUAGGUGGCUCGGUUGGUAGAGCAUGAGAUUUGAUCUUGGGGUUGUAAGUUUGAGUCCUGCAUUGGGCA
rnacentral:tRNA from 1 species